GAUGAACGCUGGCGGCGUGCCUAAUACAUGCAAGUCGAGCGGCAGCGAGUUCCGAUUUAUCGGAAUGUCGGCGAGCGGCGGACGGCUGAGUAACGCGUAGGAACGUACCCCAAGUGAGGGAUAAGCACCAGAAAUGGUGUCUAAUACCGCAUGUGGUCUAAGGAUUAAAGCUUCGGUGCUUUGGGAACGGCCUGCGUCUGAUUAGCUUGUUGGUGAGGUAAAAGCNCACCAAGGCGAUGAUCAGUAGCUGGUCUGAGAGGAUGAUCAGCCAGAC
rnacentral:rRNA from 1 species